CUAAUCCCAUGUAGUGAGG
rnacentral:snRNA from 1 species